UACGUAGGAUGCAAGCGUUGUCCGGAAUUACUGGGCGUAAAGGGCGAGCAGGUGGCAAGUCAAGUCUGAUGUGAAAUCUCCCGGCUUAACUGGGAGGGGCCAUUGGAAACUGACUAGCUGGAGUGCAGGAGAGGCUAACGGAAUUCCCGGUGUAGUGGUGAAAUGCGUAGAUAUCGGGAGGAACACCUGUGGCGAAAGCGGCUCACUGGACCACAACUGACGCUGAGGCGCGAAAGCUAGGGGAGCAAACAGG
rnacentral:rRNA from 1 species